rnacentral:rRNA from 1 species
GGGGAAUAUUGGACAAUGGGGGCAACCCUGAUCCAGCAAUACCGCGUGUGUGAAGAAGGCCUGAGGGUUGUAAAGCACUUUCAAUUGUGAAGAAAGGGGUUUAGUUAAUAACUAAAUCUUUUGANGUAACUUAGAAGAAGCACCGGCUAUCUGC